rnacentral:rRNA from 1 species
GCUACGGGUGGCAGCAGUGGGGAAUAUUGGGCAAUGGAGGAAACUCUGAACCAGCAACGCCGCGUGAAGGAUGAAGGCUCUCGGAUUGUAAACUUUUGUCGCGAGGGAUGAAGAAUGACGGUACCUCGUAAGAAAGCCCCGGCAAACGACGUGCCAGCAGCCGCGGUAAUACGGAGGGGGCGAGCGUUGUCCGGAAUGACUGGGCGUAAAGGGAGUGUAGGCGGCAUAUUAAGUUAUGUGUGAAUGCCCGCGGCUCAACCGAGGAAUUGCACAUAAAACUGGUACGCUGGAGUGCAGGAGAGGUAGGUGGAAUUCGCGGUGUAGCGGUGGAAUGCGUAGAUAUCGGGAGGAACACCGAAGGCGAAGGCGGCUUACUGGACUGUAACUGACGCUGAGGCUCGAAAGCGUGGGGAGCAAACAGGAUUAGAUACCCUUGUAGUC